rnacentral:rRNA from 1 species
UGAGGAAUAUUGGUCAAUGGGCGGGAGCCUGAACCAGCCAAGCCGCGUGAGGGAAUAAGGCCCUACGGGUCGUAAACCUCUUUUGGUCGGGGAACAAAACCGG